UACGUAGGGUGCAAGCGUUGUCCGGAAUUAUUGGGCGUAAAGAGCUCGUAGGCGGUUUGUUGCGUCGGCUGUGAAAUCCCGAGGCUCAACCUCGGGUCUGCAGUCGAUACGGGCGGACUGGAGUUCGGCAGGGGAGACUGGAAUUCCUGGUGUAGCGGUGAAAUGCGCAGAUAUCAGGAGGAACACCGAUGGCGAAGGCAGCUCGCUGGGACGGUACUGACGCUGAGGCGCGAAAGCGUGGGGAGCGAACAGG
rnacentral:rRNA from 1 species